rnacentral:tRNA from 1 species
AAAUUUAGGAUAACACUAAACC